UGGCUCUACGCUCUUAGGGGCGGGUACC
rnacentral:piRNA from 1 species